UGAGCAAUCUGCCCUUCACAUCGGAAUAACCAUUGGAAACGAUGGCUAAUACCGAAUAUGACUUCGGAUCGCAUGAUCUGAAGUGGAAAGCUCCGGCGGUGAAGGAUGAGCUCGCGGCCUAUCAGCUUGUUGGUGAGGUAAUAGCUCACCAAGGCGAUGGACGGGUAGCCGGCCUGAGAGGGUGACCGGCCACACGUGGGACUGAGACACGGCCCAGACUCCG
rnacentral:rRNA from 1 species